rnacentral:rRNA from 1 species
UACGGGGGGGGCAAGCGUUGUUCGGAAUUACUGGGCGUAAAGGGCUCGUAGGCGGCCAACUAAGUCAGACGUGAAAUCCCUCGGCUUAACCGGGGAACUGCGUCUGAUACUGGAUGGCUAGAGGUUGGGAGAGGGAUGCGGAAUUCCAGGUGUAGCGGUGAAAUGCGUAGAUAUCGGGAGGAACACCUGUGGCGAAGGCGGCCUACUGGGCCGGACCUGACGCUGAGACGCGAAGGCGUGGGGAGCGAACGGG